CCUACGGGGGACAGCAGUAGGGAAUCUUUCACAAUGGGCGAAAGCCUGAUGGAGCAACGCCGCGUGCAGGAUGAAGGCCUUCGGGUUGUACACUGCUUUUAUAAGCGAGAAAUAUGAUGGUAACUUAUGAAUAAGGAUCGGCUAACUACGUGCCAGCAGCCGCGGUCAUACGUAGGAUCCGAGCAUUAUCCGGAGUGACUGGGUGUAAAGAGUUGCGUAGGUGGCAUAAUAAGUAGCUAGUGAAAUCUGGUGGCUCAACCAUUCAGACGAUUAGCUAAACUGUUAAGCUCGAGACCGUUAGGGGUAACUGGAAUUUCUAGGGUAGGAGUGAAAUCCGUAGAUAUUAGAAGGAACACCAAUAGCGUAGGCAGGUUGCUGGGACGGUUCUGACACUAAGGCACGAAAGCGUAGGGAGCAAACGGGAUUAGAUACCCUUGUAGUC
rnacentral:rRNA from 1 species